rnacentral:precursor_RNA from 15 species
AUUCCUUUCAGCCUUCCUCCAACUGCCUUAUGUGGGCCAUGUUCUUCAAUUUGUAGAUUUUCAGCAAAGAAGUAUUUGGUCCAUAGAGGCUGUUGGGAAAGUACUCUGCAAACAACC